rnacentral:rRNA from 1 species
CCUACGGGAGGCAGCAGUGAGGAAUAUUGGUCAAUGGGCGAGAGCCUGAACCAGCCAAGUCGCGUGAGGGAGUACUGCCCUAUGGGUUGUAAACCUCUUUUGUCGGGGAGCAAAAGCCGGACGUGUCCGGCUGUGAGAGUGCCCGAAGAAAAAGCAUCGGCUAACUCCGUGCCAGCAGCCGCGGUAAUACGGGGGAUGCGAGCGUUAUCCGGAUUUAUUGGGUUUAAAGGGUGCGCAGGCGGAUUUUUAAGUCAGCGGUAAAAUCGUGGGGCUCAACCCCAUCCAGCCGUUGAAACUGGGGAUCUAGAGUGUGCGAGAGGUAUGCGGAAUGCGUGGUGUAGCGGUGAAAUGCAUAGAUAUCACGCAGAACCCCGAUUGCGAAGGCAGCAUACCGGUGCACAACUGACGCUCAGGCACGAAAGCGUGGGUAUCGAACAGGAUUAGAUACCCCGGUAGUC